GGAUGCUAUCAUACGAGCACUAAAGCACCGGAUCCCAUCAGAGCUCCGAAGUUAAGCGUGCUAGAGCGAGAGUAGUACUAGGAUGGUGACCUCCUGGGAAGUCCUCGUGUUGCAUUCC
rnacentral:rRNA from 1 species